GUUCUUUAAUCAGCAGUCCCCUCUCAGAGGCUUCAGAACAAAGGGGAGAGAAAAACAUACCAAGACCAGGAAAUCUGUCUGUAUUUGUAUUGGAGAGCUAUGUACAUCAACGGAGCUACAGAAAAAGAAUGAAUGACAUCUAGGAUACCAUUGAUGCUCCAUGGUCAUGUUUCAGGUGGAAUCUGAAUAUGCAUGUCAAGCUGGGAUUCAGAAGAGGCUUCCUUCUUAAUGAUGUGGAUCAGAGAGCUACAGAAAACAAUCCUGAAUGCAGCCCCCACAAGCCUGAUCUCACCCCUCCUUGGAGUCCUGGGCUUGGCCAGUGUUCUGAGGCUAGGCAGCACUUCUUGCUUUCUCCAAAGCCUGGUCACUGGGGACGUGGCAGUGGUCUGGCCCCUUGCUCAGGUGUGCCUAUCUUGGCUAGUCCAUCCUUUUUUUGCCCUUAUGCUUCAGCUGGGUUAAUUCAAGGCUCAAGCCUCUCUUUCCCCAGUCAGGUUUUUAGAGAGGUAUUCAAAAUCAGUGGAACUACCCAUUAUUCCAGUAGGGGAGAGCCAUUCAAAGUUGAUGGCUUUCGUUGUUAGACAUCUCUGAGGUGUUCCACACCCAAGCAGAGAGAGGACAAUGUCUAGAAUAGACUGGCCUUGUCAAGACAAGGCUGGUUUUCCCCCACACAAAUUGGAUGUCUUAAUCCAACAUGGAGGUUACAACAUGAAGGUCACAAUGAAAGUUAUAAAUCAAAAGUGUCAUUCACAAAACAAAGGAGUUUACCAUUUGGCAGAUACAUCCCUAAUCUGUCAUUUUAUACUAUUUUUAUGGAUCAUGAUAGACAGAGGACUAAAUUUAGAAGUCCAGUAAGAACUUCUACACACUGCAAGAGAUGGAUUUAGAUACACUUUGAAAGGGAAAGAAGUAAAGACAAACACAAUAGGAUUAUAACAAAUAUAGUUAUGAGGACAAAAAAAGGUGACGGGAGAGACUGAAAAGGAAACAAAAAAAUAUAUAAAGCAUUUUCUACAAGAUAAAAAAGUAGCAAAUGAAAAUGGGAAGGUACUUUUAAAUGAAAAAAAGUGUUGAUACAUAAUGUUAUAAUCAAAUACAGUAUCCGACAGACUAUACGCAGGAAUUGCUAUAUUGCAUCAGACCAGAAUCUCAGACAGAGGCCAGGACACCAGAUGCUUCAGAGGAAGGUGCAAGACCACCACAUAAGGCAGUCUCA